GUGGGGAAUAUUGGACAAUGGGCGAAAGCCUGAUCCAGCCAUGCCGCGUGUGUGAAGAAGGUCUUCGGAUUGUAAAGCACUUUAAGUUGGGAGGAAGGGCAGUAAGUUAAUACCUUGCUGUUUUGACGUUACCAACAGAAUAAGCACCGGCUAACUUCGUGCCAGCAGCCGCGGUAAUACGAAGGGUGCAAGCGUUAAUCGGAAUUACUGGGCGUAAAGCGCGCGUAGGUGGUUUUGUAAGUUGGAGGUGAAAUCCCCGGGCUCAACCUGGGAACUGCGUCCAAAACUGCAUGACUAGAGUACGGUAGAGGGUAGUGGAAUUUCCUGUGUAGCGGUGAAAUGCGUAGAUAUAGGAAGGAACACCAGUGGCGAAGGCGACUACCUGGACUGAUACUGACACUGAGGUGCGAAAGCGUGGGGAGCAAACAGGAUUAGAUACCCCAGUAGUCC
rnacentral:rRNA from 1 species